AUGGAUGAGACGAAAUAAUAAUAAUAAUA
rnacentral:sRNA from 1 species